rnacentral:piRNA from 1 species
UUGUUUAUGCGGGUUAAAGCUAUUGACAGU